AAGCCGGGAAGGGAUAAACGCUGAAGGCAUCUAAGCGUGAAGCCCCCCUCAAGAUGAGAUAUCCCAUACGGAAGUAGUAAGACCCCUUGAAGACGACGAGGUAGAUAGGGCAGAGGUGGAAGUGUGGUAACACAUGGAGCUGACUGUUACUAAUAGGUCGAGGGCAUAACCAAG
rnacentral:rRNA from 1 species